AAUAGAUACCCCGGUAGUCCACGCCGUAAACGAUGAGUGCUAAGUGUUAGAGGGUUUCCGCCCUUUAGUGCUGCAGCUAACGCAUUAAGCACUCCGCCUGGGGAGUACGGCCGCAAGGCUGAAACUCAAAGGAAUUGACGGGGGCCCGCACAAGCGGUGGAGCAUGUGGUUUAAUUCGAAGCAACGCAAGAACCUUACCAGGUCUUGACAUCCUCUGCCAACCCUAGAGAUAGGGCGUUCCCCUUCGGGGGACAGAGUGACAGGUGGUGCAUGGUUGUCGUCAGCUCGUGUCGUGAGAUGUUGGGUUAAGUCCCGCAACGAGCGCAACCCUUGAUCCUAGUUGCCAGCAUUCAGUUGGGCACUCUAAGGUGACUGCCGGUGACAAACCGGAGGAAGGUGGGGAUGACGUCAAAUCAUCAUGCCCCUUAUGACCUGGGCUACACACGUGCUACAAUGGAUGGUACAAAGAGCUGCGAACCCGCGAGGGUAAGCGAAUCUCAUAAAGCCAUUCUCAGUUCGGA
rnacentral:rRNA from 1 species